ACUAAUAGGCCAUUCAGGGUGGAAGACUACCCAAUGUUUAUACCCUUCUUGGACCUUAAAAAGUUAGCAUCACAUCGUUAUAUUUUUGCACCUGUUUGCCAUUCAAACCAUUGGUGGUUAUGGAUCGCUGAUACAAGAAAGAAGAAAUUUUAUAUAGUCGACCCAGUACACAACAAAUCUCCUACCGAAGAGAGAACUGUGCUGAAUACAUUUGUUGAUACGUAAUAUCACGAAUUAAAGUAUAUGCUGGGGGGCACCUCUGAAAUCAAAGGACAAGGACAGGGAAAUUGUAGCACCAUACCUUCACAUCUCGGGUCAAAAGAUAAGCUAUGACUGUGCUAUCUACGUAAUGAAGUGGCUUGAGAUAUUUGAGCCCG